UCGGGAGGACGGUUACCACGGUGUGAUUCAUGACUGGGGUGAAGUCGUAACAAGGUAGCCGUAGGGGAACCUGCGGCUGGAUCACCUCCUUAAU
rnacentral:rRNA from 1 species